CGCCGUAAACGAUGAAUACUAAAUGUCGGGGAAACCCGGUGUUGGAACAAACGCAAUAAGUAUUCCGCCUGUGGAGUAUGCACGCAAGUGUGAAACAUAAAGGAAUUGACGGGGGCCCGCACAAGCGGUGGAGUAUGUGGUUUAAUUCGACGCAACGCGAAGAACCUUACCAGGCCUUGACAUCCCCUGCGAAGUACUGGAGACAGUACGGAGGUUAUCAGGGAGACAGGUGGUGCAUGGCUGUCGUCAG
rnacentral:rRNA from 1 species